UUUUUUUGGGGGGGAAAGCUAAUUUAUUCUUUAUGAAGCGGAUACCAUUUGUGGCUUGGUGGAUAGUCAAUUAAUUUUAUACUGGUGUUAAUAUCUAUCCCUUUUUCCGUUUCUAUUUUCUGACUCAUUUUGUAAUUUUUGAGUGCUGCUUAUCUUCACUGGGCUUUCAGUGCCGUGACACAAACAUAGAAUAUUAUUCUACUUGUAUCUGCUUUGGAAAAAGAUUGUGUAUGUUGAUCUGUAAUGUUGUCCUUCUCAGAGUAGGUUAUCACAGUUGUUUUCUUUGUGGUCUGCAGAUAGGAACAAGUGAAUAACUUCAGCUGGAGCAGAUUGCCAGUUAUGUGAUAGUAUUUUAUAAUCAACAUGCGGUUUUCUCAUGUACUAAUUGCUAGUUCACUUUAAAAUGAAAGCAAGAUUGGUUUUUGAUUUGUGAAGUGUUCCUAUGCACAUACCUUCAAGAAGUGAAAGAGAGCUGUCAUUAGGACUGUGGUACCAGUGCCUCUCGUAGGCUUUAACUGCACUCACCUGCCCCGCCUGCAGCCUCCCCAUGCCCCUGCCCAGCUUGGGGCACUCUUGUUUCAGGGUGUGACCCAUAGGCUCACUCCCUGCCUUGACUGUGUCUCAUCACCAUGAACUUGCCAGAUGAGCUGGGCUCUUGGUGACACAUGCUCUGCUCUUCUCACACAGGGCCAUGGAAAUUGCAGUUUUGUGGCAAGUUAGAGGAUUAGUAGCUGCAUCAGCUUUUGGUACAAAUAAAAGCUGUAAGUCAACCAGUCCUCCUGCAGGUAUGACAGCUAGGAUUUCCAUGAACAAGGCUUCAGGCCUGGUUUAUGUCUUCUUAAUUCAGCAUGUUAAAACAAAACAAAACAAAAAAAGUACCUAA
rnacentral:lncRNA from 1 species